rnacentral:precursor_RNA from 15 species
GGCCCAGCAGCGCCCCGAGGCCCUGGGGGAUGAGGUAGUAGAUUGUAUAGUUUUAGGGUCACACCCGGUCUCGGAGAUAACUAUACAGUCUACUGUCUUUCCCGCGGGGUCACCCUCAGCACUGCGAGCAG